rnacentral:rRNA from 1 species
GUGGGGAAUCUUGCGCAAUGGGCGAAAGCCUGACGCAGCCAUGCCGCGUGAAUGAUGAAGGUCUUAGGAUUGUAAAAUUCUUUCACCGGGGACGAUAAUGACGGUACCCGGAGAAGAAGCUCCGGCUAACUUCGUGCCAGCAGCCGCGGUAAUACGAAGGGGGCUAGCGUUGCUCGGAAUUACUGGGCGUAAAGGGCGCGUAGGCGGACAGCUUAGUCAGAGGUGAAAGCCCAGGGCUCAACCCUGGAAUUGCCUUAGAGACUGGCUGUCUGGAGUUUGGGGGAGGUGAUUGGAACUCCGAGUGUAGAGGUGAAAUUCGAAGAUAUUCGGAAGAACACCAGUGGCGAAGGCGACUCACUGGCCCAAUACUGACGCUGAGGGGCGAAAGCGUGGGGAGCAAACAGGAUUAGAAACCCGGGUAGUCC